rnacentral:ncRNA from 1 species
AAUGUACCUAUGAUGAGGAAAGUAGAUAUAAGGAUUUGUUUCAGCGAGUCAGAGUUGGUGGGAGUCUGGCACAGAGUUAUGUCGAAGCGCACCUUGGAGGUCCUGUCCGAAACUUAUAAGUAGGACAAGGCGGUUUCCACCGUUAUCGGGAGUAAAAGUGGGCAUAGAUUGUGCCAAUAAGAGUGGUAACACGGGAUUAUACUCUCGUCUCUAAG